UCCUGACCUCGGAUCAGACGUGAUUACCCGCUGAACUUAAGCAUAUCACUAAGCGGAGGAAAAGAAACUAACAAGGAUUCCCUUAGUAACGGCGAGUGAACAGGGAUGAGCCCAGCACCGAAGCCUGUGGCCAUUUGGUUACUAGGCAAUGUGGUGUUUAGGUCGUUCCGCAGAGACACUGCUCCUUUCUAAGUCCAUCAAUGAGUACGGUUGUACUGACAUGGCCCAUGGAGGGUGAAAGGCCCGUAAGAGAGGAGUUUUGGUAAGACAGUGUCUCUCUGGAUUGACCUUGGAGUCGGGUUGUUUGGGAAUGCAGCCCUAAGUGGGUGGUAAACUCCAUCCAAGGCUAAAUACAAGCACGAGUCCGAUAGCGAACAAGUACCGUGAGGGAAAGUUGAAAAGUACUUUGAAGAGAGAGUAAACAGUGCGUGAAACCGCUUAGAGGUAAACGGGUGGAGUUGAACUGCAAUCUCUGAGAAUUCAGCUGGCGAGAAUUAUUUGAGCUUGGUCAAGUUGGUGGGGCCCUGGGGUAUGCUUAGGUGCAUGUUCUGGCCUUCGGGUCGGAAUGCGCGUUGCUCUUAUCAAGGGCUGCGCGCCUCGGGUGUCCGGCUGGCCUUGUCACCAGUGCACUUUCUCGGAGUGAUCACCACGACCGGCGUGCUGCUUGACUGUUCUAGUUAAAUCGAACGUUCAUCGUCCUUGUGGCGUUGGGUGGUCGACACGGCAGGUAACUGGGGGCUUGCUUCGGCUUGUUUCUCGGUGUAUGCUGGCUUUAACGGUUCUAUGCGGUGUGUCGGAGACGGCGGCUAGUUGUGUGUGCGUGCGUUUCUACCUGUUGGCAUAUCCUGGUUUGGUGGCUGUGUGCUUGUUCAAGCAGGCCUAGUUAUAGCCGGGGUAUGUCAGUGGGUGGUUGCGUGUGUGGCACUUUCAGGGCCAACAGUCUGUGGUGUUGUGGUAGACUAUCCACCUGACCCGUCUUGAAACACGGACCAAGGAGAGUAACAUGUGCGCGAGUCAUUGGGCGUAACGAAACCCACAGGCGUAGUGAAAGUAAAGGGCUGGCUUGUCCAGUCUAAGGUGAGAUCCUGUCGUUGUUCAUGCGUGGUAUCACCAAGCUUGGAGCGGUAGGCGCAUCACCGGCCCGUCCCAUGAUGUGGUCACAGUCUUCGGAUUGUGCGCCGUCGGGGCGGAGCAUGAGCGUACAUGUUGAGACCCGAAAGAUGGUGAACUAUGCUUGCGCAGGUUGAAGCCAGAGGAAACUCUGGUGGAGGACCGCAGCGAUUCUGACGUGCAAAUCGAUCGUCAAACGUGAGUAUAGGGGCGAAAGACUAAUCGAACCAUCUAGUAGCUGGUUCCCUCCGAAGUUUCCCUCAGGAUAGCU
rnacentral:rRNA from 1 species